rnacentral:lncRNA from 10 species
AUAGUUAAUAAGUCUCACGAGAUCUGAAAGCAAGGGUUUCUGCUUUUGCUUCUUCCUCAUUUUUCUCUUUCCGCUGCCAUGUAAGAAGUGCCUUUUGCCUCCCACUAUCAUUCUGAGGCCUUCCCACCCAUGUGGAACUCUGAACUCACAAGAAAAUAAGGAAGACCUCCUGGAGGGAAAACAAGCAAGAACUGAAAACAAGUGCCGUCAGUGAAUGGAAUGAGAUUUCUCAAGCAUGUACCCUGUGACAGUCACUUCACUAAAAAUCAGAAACUCAAACAUGGAACUGGAUGCUAGUUCUGUCCUCAAGAAGCUCAGAGUCUUUCAGAAAAAGAGGAGCCGUGAGACAAAUUACCAAGUGCAAGCUCAGAAGCCUUGCGUUUGUGGUGAGAGAUGAAGAGGGAGUUUGUAAAGAUGUGAAAGCAGGGUCUUUCUCCUUGAAGUUCUGGGGAGGAAUUGUAAAUCUGUUUGUCUAUUGCCAAAGAAUACUUGCCUUGGAAACUAGAGAGAGCCUCAGAUUCAGUCUCAGUGAUAAAGUGCUUCUAAACUGGGUCAGGGACAAAAACAAAGGACAGACGAUACCAUAAAUAAUGAACUUAUGGGGCAGAAAGUGUCAGCUCAAGUAUUUAGAGGCUCUCUACAAGGAAAAGGAAACUAGGAAUGUAAUGAUUUCAUGAGAGGUUUUGGAAGCCUUCAAAAUCAAUAAAUCAAUUAAUUAUUUAGUUCAGUACUUUUCUCUCUUACUAGCAUAUUAUGAUUUCCCCAACUUCAUCUCUCCCUGGUCAUAUCUGUCCUCUACAAUAUUCCAAGGUUGAUCUUUCUGGGAUAAUAUUUUGAUCUUGUUACUCUCCUUUUAAGAAUAAAGGUAAAAUUUAAAUGGUCAUUUGAGGUCAUUUUAACUGUAUUCUGUGUUUUAAGAAGCCCUCCAACUGAUUCUGAUGCAUAGUAAGUUUUGGGAAUUAAUCACUAUAUGGCUUAUCUCUUCCACAAAAGAAGUAUAUUCUCCCAGGACAAGAGUCUUCCCUAAUGCACCCCUGUAGCCCCUCAGCUCAGUGGCUAAGCACAUGGCAGGUGUUCAAGAAAUUAUGGAAAGGUAAGAUGCAUCUUCUGAGCAGAGGCUGCUUGUCAAGUGGAAGGCUGGGUGCUGUGAGGAAUAGAGGAGAAUUAGAUGAAUUACUGUGCAUUAGUUUAGAUUCUACUGGAGGCGACAAAACCAAGACAUACAGCAAGUGAGAAUAACUAAGUGCUGAUCCAUAGCGUGCAGUAACAACGCAACACAAGCACAGAAGAGGAAAAGAGGUGCUGGGGGGUUUAAUUGUAGGUCCUUAUAUGACUGAACCCUUC